GGUGUGUAGUUGGUAAUAUGGUCAUAGGUCGGGGAGGAUUUUAUGCAUUAUCCCUAACUGUUUAGUUGGUUUGGGGGUUUGUGUCGGCUGGCCUUGUUUCACGAGAGGCGCCAUCACGAUCGAGUCCGGUUAGGGUCGUGACAGAGAGGCGGAAGACCCUGAGAAGUUGCGUGAUGCAUAACUUGCAAACAUGUCGAUGUUUGUUUUUGCCCUAUUGUCACAACAUAGGGGGUAUUCAAUAUCAAUAUGAUGUGCAUAUUAACUUUAAGGAAUAAUAUUAAAGAUAUUAUACCAAUUGAUCAGCUCCAACGCUAGUGGAUAAGCGGGACCUAUUUUGUUGUUGAGUUGAAUAUAGUUUGCAGCGAUAAACCUGUAUAUACCACGAUCUUGGUGUAAUAUUGUAUUUGAAAAGAUAUAUACGAGGGGACAAAUUUGAGUACACUAAUACCCUAAUAAGGAGAUAUUCCUAUACUCCUUGCAAGAAUUAUAGGAUAUUCUUCAUACACUACGCUACACUCACACGGCCAAGUAUAUAUAAAGCAACACCUCCCCGUCAUUUUAGUGCAUAAAUUAGAAAGAAAAAAAGGAAAAAGAGAAGAAGAUGAUGACCAUUAAACCCGUGAGAAUUCUUCGGAAAAAAAAAAGGUCGUACUCAAGAUUAGAAAACGCUAUUUAAGAUACAGAGAAAAACUCUAACGCAAAGGGAAGCUCAUAGUACAAAGAAUCAAAAAGAAAAUAGCAGCAAAGACAAUGAACCCAUUAGAACGACUGCUAUGCAACAGUUUCUAUCCACAAGUACUUUCAUUAUGGUUCUAUCAAUUUCUCGAUGAAUCGGAAGAUACUGUUAAAUGAAGGGGUCGAUUAGGGGAGAACAAUCAAGAACUUCAACCAUAUUCAUUACUGAAAUACUUGUUUAAAAUGUUGUAAAGCCUUUGUAUAUAUGUUUGGCUAUGAAUAGAGCAAAAAAGAACAAAAAAGAAAAUCAAAAAAAUUGCAGAAAGUCCGGAAAAGUCCUAAGACUGUUCACACAGAUCAGUGAAAGACCAAAACUACUAAAUCUCAGAAUAUGGUGAAACAAAAAAAAAACGAAAAAAACACCAGUUGCUAGAACUUAGAAUCAACCAAAGGAGACAAAAAGUGGAAAAAGAGAAUAAUUUUGUCGAGUUCUGUUAGGAGUAAUAACUUUUGAGGUUAAGUUUUAUUUAAAAUGUUAGAUUUGUAUUUAUCAAAUGUUCAAAAUCAUGCAUCUAAGUAUCAAUUUCCAAACAUGCAUAGAUUAAACCAAACCAGAACACAGAACCCCUAAAUUUCAUAUUGAAAAUUAUGAAAAUAUAGACAUGGCUAAUAAAGAGAGGAAUCAAAAAUUCACCUAUGAAAUCCACCAAAAAAAUUUAAAAAGAGGGAAGAAGAAUACCGGAGAGCUAAGCGAAGUAACAAAAAAUUCUCCUCUCACAUUCAACAACUUCCGAUGAAAAUAGUGAAAGAGCGAUUGCAGGCAAAGCAGAGAAUUGAGAACUGGGCUCGUUUAUGAAGGAGUUAAUGAAGAAUAUUGUUAGAAUUAUGAGUAGGGUUUGGAUAUGAAUUUUUCGCCUUACUGCUCUUGUUCCAUCCAAAUUCUUGUUGUGUCCCUAUAUUGGCUGAUUUGAGUCGUUUAGAGAAAGACUACAUAGGUAAUUUUGCAAGCCACUCUGACUGCCACCGCCUAAAUCUCUGCUUUACCAAGAUUUUCCUUCACAUCUCUCUUUUCUCUAUGUUUAGAUUCCCUUGGCUUUUCCGCUGACCCAUCAAUUUCUGUUAUAUAUUGACAAGAGAUUGUGAUUUUUGUUGAGUUUUUGCAAUUCAACAUUUGCUCCAUCAAGAUAAUCACAGGUUAGAAGGCCCUUAAAAUUUCUCUAUUCCAAUUUCGGUCUGCAAUUUUUGUUACAAUGUUUGGGGUAUUUCAAAUUUGCAUAUGCUUGUUAAUCCAUCUCUUUCCUUCAGAGUUAGAUUAUAAUUUCAUAUA